rnacentral:tRNA from 1 species
GGGCGGCCGGACCGCGGCGGACGGUCCGGUGGGCCGGUCACCGGGGCGUGCCGACACGCCCCGGUGUGCUGUUCAUCGUCCGCGGUCGCCGUC